UACUCUUACGGGAGGCAGCAGUGGGGAAUUUUGGACAAUGGGCGCAAGCCUGAUCCAGCCAUGCCGCGUGCGGGAAGAAGGCCUUCGGGUUGUAAACCGCUUUUGUCAGGGAAGAAAAGUUCUGGGCUAAUACCCCGGGACGAUGACGGUACCUGAAGAAUAAGCACCGGCUAACUACGUGCCAGCAGCCGCGGUAAUACGUAGGGUGCAAGCGUUAAUCGGAAUUACUGGGCGUAAAGCGUGCGCAGGCGGUCUUGCAAGACAGAUGUGAAAUCCCCGGGCUUAACCUGGGAACUGCAUUUGUGACUGCAAGGCUGGAGUACGGUAGAGGGGGAUGGAAUUCCGCGUGUAGCAGUGAAAUGCGUAGAUAUGCGGAGGAACACCGAUGGCGAAGGCAAUCCCCUGGACCUGUACUGACGCUCAUGCACGAAAGCGUGGGGAGCAAACAGGAUUAGAUACCCUGGUAGUCCACGCCCUAAACGAUGUCAACUGGUUGUUGGGAGGGUUUCUUCUCAGUAACGUAGCUAACGCGUGAAGUUGACCGUACUCCUACAGCGGCCCUC
rnacentral:rRNA from 1 species